AACGAACGCUGGCGGCAUGCCUAACACAUGCAAGUCGAGCGCCCGUAGCAAUACGGGAGCGGCGCACGGGUGAGUAACGCGUGGGAACCUGCCCAGAGGUUCGGGACAACCGCGGGAAACUGCGGCUGAUACCGGAUGAUACCUGAGGGUCAAAGAUUUAUCGCCUUUGGAGGGGCCCGCGUCAGAUUAGGUAGUUGGUGGGGUAACGGCCUACCAAGCCUGUGAUCUGUAACUGGUCUGAGAGGAUGACCAGUCACACUGGGACUGAGACACGGCCCAGACUCCUACGGGAGGCAACAGUGGGGAGUAUUGGACAAUGGGGGCAACCCUGAUCCAGCAAUGCCGCGUGGGUGAUGAAGGCCUUCGGUUGUAAAGCCCUUUCGGCGGGACGACGAUGACGGUACCCGCAGAAGAAGCCCGGCUAACUUCGUG
rnacentral:rRNA from 1 species